GGGAAGUUCUGGGGGCUUAGGUAAUGUGUAUACAUGGCUUUUGCAAUAUAAUCCUCUCCAAGGUCAGCCUGCGUUUGCCUUAGGGAGCUGUUUGCAUGUGUGCACGCGUGCUUCAGAGGGAGCCCCGUCCGCUGCCAGGAGCCACCCCGUUAGCAGCUGAUAAUGGGGAGGGGAAGAGGCCAUCAGACGGGACACACCGGCGAGUCUGGCGAAUGGCUGUGUCCCGAGCAGCGGCAUCCACGGCAGCCUACGGGAGCUCGGGGAGCGCUGGAAAUGAACGGCUGGUGCGGGCGCUGAUAAGCCACUUCAGCCGGAGAUCCAGACUGCGGUUCGGUGGGGUUCAAGGUCUCUCUGCCUUGAAAAACUAUUCAAGAGCACUCACUAGUGGCUGCAAGUGAAAACAGCGCCCUGGCAGGGCAUGGCCCUGCCCGCUGCCUUCGUGCCUCUUUGAGUCCGAGCGAAGGCAGCAAGGAGAC
rnacentral:lncRNA from 12 species